UCGGACGGGUGAGUAACGCGUGAGAAUUUGGCUUCAGGUCGGGGACAACAGUUGGAAACGACUGCUAAUACCGGAUAUGCCGGAAGGUGAAAGGCUUGCUGCCUGAAGAUAAGCUCGCGUCUGAUUAGCUAGUAGGAGGGGUAAAAGCCCACCUAGGCGACGAUCAGUAGCUGGUCUGAGAGGAUGAUCAGCCACACUGGGACUGAGACACGGCCCAGACUCCUACGGGAGGCAGCAGUGGGGAAUUUUCCGCAAUGGGCGAAAGCCUGACGGAGCAAUACCGCGUGAGGGAGGAAGGCUCUUGGGUCGUAAACCUCUUUUCUCAAGGAAGAAGAAAGUGACGGUACUUGAGGAAUAAGCAUCGGCUAACUCCGUGCCAGCAGCCGCGGUAAUACGGAGGAUGCAAGCGUUAUCCGGAAUGAUUGGGCGUAAAGGGUCUGUAGGUGGUACUGAAAGUCUGCUGUUAAAGAAUCACGCUCAACGUGAUCAAAGCAGUGGAAACUACAGAACUAGAGUGCGGUAGGGGCAAAAGGAAUUCCUGGUGUAGCGGUGAAAUGCGUAGAUAUCAGGAAGAACACCGGUGGCGAAAGCGUUUGCUAGACCCGCAAACUGACAC
rnacentral:rRNA from 1 species